GAUGAACGCUGGCGGCGUGCUUAGCACAUGCAAGUCGAGCGAAGCACUUUUGCGGAUUUCUUCGGAUUGAAGCAAUUGUGACUGAGCGGCGGACGGGUGAGUAACGCGUGGGUAACCUGCCUCAUACAGGGGGAUAACAGUUGGAAACGGCUGCUAAUACCGCAUAAGCGCACAGUGCCGCAUGGUACCGUGUGAAAAACUCCGGUGGUAUGAGAUGGACCCGCGUCUGAUUAGGUAGUUGGUGGGGUAACGGCCUACCAAGCCGACGAUCAGUAGCCGACCUGAGAGGGUGACCGGCCACAUUGGGACUGAGACACGGCCCAAACUCCUACGGGAGGCAGCAGUGGGGAAUAUUGCACAAUGGGGGAAACCCUGAUGCAGCGACGCCGCGUGAGCGAUGAAGUAUUUCGGUAUGUAAAGCUCUAUCAGCAGGGAAGAAAAUGACGGUACCUGACUAAGAAGCCCCGGCUAACUACGUGCCAGCAGCCGCGGUAAUACGUAGGGGGCAAGCGUUAUCCGGAUUUACUUGGUGUAAAGGGAGCGUAGACGGCAUGGCAAGCCAGAUGUGAAAGCCCGGGGCUCAACCCCGGGACUGCAUUUGGAACUGUCAGGCUAGAGUGUCGGAGAGGAAAGCGGAAUUCCUAGUGUAGCGGUGAAAUGCGUAGAUAUUAGGAGGAACACCAGUGGCGAAGGCGGCUUUCUGGACGAUGACUGACGUUGAGGCUCGAAAGCGUGGGGAGCAAACAAAAUUAGAUCCCCUGGUAGUCCCCGCCGUAAACGAAGAAUACUAGGUGUUGGGUGGCAAAGCCAUUCGGUGCCGCAGCAAACGCAAUAAGUAUUCCACCUGGGGAGUACGUUCGCAAGAAUGAAACUCAAAGGAAUUGACGGGGACCCGCACAAGCGGUGGAGCAUGUGGUUUAAUUUGAAGCAACGCGAAGAACCUUACCUGGUCUUGACAUCCCUCUGACCGCUCUUUAAUCGGAGCUUUCCUUCGGGACAGAGGAGACAGGUGGUGCAUGGUUGUCGUCAGCUCGUGUCGUGAGAUGUUGGGUUAAGUCCCGCAACGAGCGCAACCCCUAUCUUUAGUAGCCAGCAUCUAAGGUGGGCACUCUAGAGAGACUGCCAGGGAUAACCUGGAGGAAGGUGGGGAGGACGUCAAAUCAUCAUGCCCCUUAUGACCAGGGCUACACACGUGCUACAAUGGCGUAAACAAAGGGAAGCGAGCCCGCGAGGGGGAGCAAAUCCCAAAAAUAACGUCUCAGUUCGGAUUGUAGUCUGCAACUCGACUACAUGAAGCUGGAGUCGCUAGUAAUCGCGAAUCAGAAUGUCGCGGUGAAUAAGAUCCCGGGUCUUGCACA
rnacentral:rRNA from 1 species